UAGGGCCACAGGAGAAAGAAGGGUGGAACUCAGGAUAUUGCAGUCAGAGCUUCUUGAAGUUGCUCCCAGUGGGGCAGAAGGCACAGCUGAUGGGAUAUUCAGUGGAUGUGGGGGUGCAGAAGGGGUGGGGAAUAGCAAGCCACUGUGGAAGGAAACAGGAAAACUCCAACUCUGCCAAGUUAUUGUGCUGUUUCUACUGUCUCCCCAACCCCCACACCUCCACUGUGGUCACGGUUCAUCACGUACGAAGCUCGGUGUCUAUCCCAACAUUGGCUAGGAGGACAGCUCUGCGGGCUUAACUCUGUUCUUUCACCUUUCGGUGGGUUACUGGAAUGGCAUCGACAUCUUCAGGCUUGCUAGGCAAGUGCCUUCAUCUGCUGAGUCAUCCCAGAGGUCCAGCUCCAACUAUCUGGAUAGCACAAUUAUCCAGUAAAUGGUUCCUCAGAUCCACAAAUGAAUACCCACAUGGAAACUCUUCUCCCAAACAGAUUUUAGGGUGCCUGAUGGUUGUCAACUAGAUUAGGUCAGGAAAUACCUGGCAGGUUAGUAAAACUCAAGGUGAGGCGUUUGUAAACAGUUAGAUCCUGAGGGUUCUGAUUUAAUCAAUGGGAGAUGGUAGGAGGUAGAAGACUGAAUGAAGGCAAUGAGCCCCUGGGGUUUGUGCCCCUGAGCCCUCUAUCUCUGGCUUCCUCCUGAAUCUAUCUUCUCACUGAUUUCUUCCUAUGCUCCCUCUGUGGUAGGUGCCGUUAGAGACAGAGCCUAGGCCUUGACUCCCACACCACUAAAACGACAAGUAAUAAUGAGAAGUGAAAGAUUUAUUUUGCAUAACCGCAACAGGAAGAGAAACAAAUUACUGGUUCAAUUUCUGCCCAGACUUCCAUUAAUGGCAGACAAUGAUGGGGAAGCUGAAGUGAAGUGUGUCUUUUGUGGUACCCAGACUAGGAAAACCCCAGAGACCACCUGGAACCAUAACUCCCAUGCAAGCACAUGCUGGGCACUUCCUAGGCUGCAAGACACUCCAGGGUCCAUCUUUGAAGGUAGAAAUGAGUCUCCUUGAAGCUGUUCUCCUGGAGGCUGCAGAAUGAGCUCAUGUUAUUGAAAUUACCAGAGAGAGUGGAAGCAGGCUCUUGAUGUGCCCAUUUUCUCUGUGGCAGAGUGGGAUACUCUGCAAACAGAACUCUGUCUUGGAUGCUUGGAUGCUGCCCUGCCUGGGUGUCCCAGCAACCCGGGAUACUUACUCAUCAAUGCCAGACUCCAUCACAGCAUCUUCCAGAACUUCCACAUUCACUAAUGGUCUACCGUGCAUCUCUCUUUCAGAGAGCCAAUGACUUGUUGGGACUUAUUCUGAGAUGUCGACACAUUAGAACUGAAAGUAAAUCUCCAUGGAUACUCUUUAUCAUACCUGUGUACAGAGUAGGUCAAGGCACAUAGCCAAGGCUCGAUUCAAGACUAAAAUCUAGACCAACCCAUCAAACACAGAAGUGGAUGCUCACAGUCAGCUAAUGGAUGGAUCACAGGGC
rnacentral:lncRNA from 1 species